AGAUCGGCUAAUCUAGCGCGAGAGAAUGGCUCACAGUAAAGAAGGCAGAGAGUUUUCUGCGGGUCGAAAAUGCCAUGCAAUUGUUUUUGAAGAAAAGCCUUCAGAGGCACCUGAACGAGGCCCUUUCACCUCCAUUAUCUCCAAAUCUCGUCUGCUCUCUAAGGGACCAUCCGAGAAGUCACGUGCCCUCGUUUUCGCUUUGACCAUUUUGGUUGUCACCAUCACGUGCCUGGUCUUCCUACUGGGGGUCAGGGUCAUUCGUGGAGAGAAUCACAUUACGCAAGACGAAGACAUUGGGAGAAUUCUGGAACAGAUUCUUGGACCCAAUUUUGGACACUUGAACAUAUCCGACUCGGAUGUUCAGAAUUUCACAUUUACCCAUGGGCAUAUUUAAAUACAUCACAUUAUAUUUUUAUUGAAUGUACACUAGUCUGUAUAUGUCUCACGCAAAGGUAAAGGAAAAUAAAGAUAUUAAAAAUGAAAAAACUAAAUUAUUUAUUUUAUAACUAAUGUGUUAACAUAAAGAUAACAAUGCCUUCAUAUAAUCGUUAUAUAUGAUUCGUUAUACAACAUUAUAUGGGAAACAAAAAUGAAACUGUUUUAAACGUGCCCUUCGGCCAUUUUAGGCUUGUAAUUAUGAAUAGUAUUUUCUGAGCCGGGAACGAGUUCAAGAAAAUCUUUGGGUCUCUUUCUAAAUUUUAGGCAGUCCUGGAGAAGUUGAGAAAUGACAAGAACCAUGACGACGAUACCAAGGUAGACAAACCAAACAGUCCAUGCCACGGGGCGAGAGUUCGCCACGAACACGCCCAAUGAAAUGUUUGCCAGAGCUAGCAAAAUGGCCGACUUCCCGCCAAUAUAGUGAAUCGAUUCCCAUAUUACUCGAUGAAGUGAUUUUUUAGAUUCCUCAUUCGGGUGUUUUGGUCGACUGGAAGUAAUGAAAAUACAGCUAUAAUGAAAAUAAUCAAAUCUUUAUCGUUUUAAAUGUGUAUGACUGUAUUUGUAUUUCAUUACUUACAACACUGCAUUGAUCGGCUGUAAAAGUCCUAGUAUUACCACCAGCAGCCCGAUAAUUCCAUGAGCAAAGCCAAAAUGUCUGGACUGGACGGAAAGGACUGCCAUGAUAAACCCUGCUAAACUGCAAAUCUGCCCAAUGAUCUGUAGGGCAAUAAAAGCAUGGUAUGUAUUUUAUCAUGCUUCUAACCUGGGCAAUACCUUACACCUCUGCAUGUAGGAAAAAUGUUAUACUUUUAAAAAAAAGUUCUUGGUAAGAC
rnacentral:misc_RNA from 1 species